rnacentral:tmRNA from 1 species
GGGGGCGUACUGGUUUCGACCUGACAAAGACGCCAGAGGCGGCAUGCCGAGGACGAUGCGUUGGCCUCGUAAAUCAUCGCAUCAAAAAAAGCUAACGAAGAAUUAGCACUCGCGGCCUAAAGUUGUCGCGACGUUCGCCGGUGGACACCUGCUACGCCGGACGAACGCCAUAGCAGGUAUGGUGGAAGGCGGAGACCGCGCGCCCAGACCGAGAAAAUUCCAUGCGGACUAGGCAGUGCGAUUCGAGUUCGGACGCCAUCGCAUAGCAGAAAAAUCUUUCCGGACUAAGCAUGUAGUCGCGGCUGGUAGCUGGGCCAGGGACGGGGGUUCAACUCCCCCCGCCUCCACCA